GCAGUGGUGGUUCAGCGGUAGAACUCUCAUUUUCCACGCAGGAGGCCUGGGUUUGAUUCCUGGCCAGCGCA
rnacentral:tRNA from 1 species